rnacentral:rRNA from 1 species
UUAAGCGACUAAGCGUACACGGUGGAUGCCCUGGCAGUCAGAGGCGAUGAAGGACGUGCUAAUCUGCGAUAAGCGUCGGUAAGGUGAUAUGAACCGUUAUAACCGGCGAUUUCCGAAUGGGGAAACCCAGUGUGAUUCGUCACACUAUCAUUAACUGAAUCCAUAGGUUAAUGAGGCGAACCGGGGGAACUGAAACAUCUAAGUACCCCGAGGAAAAGAAAUCAACCGAGAUUCCCCCAGUAGCGGCGAGCGAACGGGGAGGAGCCCAGAGCCUGAAUCAGUAUGUGUGUUAGUGGAAGCGUCUGGAAAGGCGUGCGAUACAGGGUGACAGCCCCGUACACAAAAAUGCACAUGCUGUGAGCUCGAUGAGUAGGGCGGGACACGUGGUAUCCUGUCUGAAUAUGGGGGGACCAUCCUCCAAGGCUAAAUACUCCUGACUGACCGAUAGUGAACCAGUACCGUGAGGGAAAGGCGAAAAGAACCCCGGCGAGGGGAGUGAAAAAGAACCUGAAACCGUGUACGUACAAGCAGUGGGAGCCUCUUUAAUGGGGUGACUGCGUACCUUUUGUAUAAUGGGUCAGCGACUUAUAUUCUGUAGCAAGGUUAACCGAAUAGGGGAGCCGAAGGGAAACCGAGUCUUAACUGGGCGUUAAGUUGCAGGGUAUAGACCCGAAACCCGGUGAUCUAGCCAUGGGCAGGUUGAAGGUUGGGUAACACUAACUGGAGGACCGAACCGACUAAUGUUGAAAAAUUAGCGGAUGACUUGUGGCUGGGGGUGAAAGGCCAAUCAAACCGGGAGAUAGCUGGUUCUCCCCGAAAGCUAUUUAGGUAGCGCCUCGUGAAUUCAUCUCCGGGGGUAGAGCACUGUUUCGGCAAGGGGGUCAUCCCGACUUACCAACCCGAUGCAAACUGCGAAUACCGGAGAAUGUUAUCACGGGAGACACACGGCGGGUGCUAACGUCCGUCGUGAAGAGGGAAACAACCCAGACCGCCAGCUAAGGUCCCAAAGUCAUGGUUAAGUGGGAAACGAUGUGGGAAGGCCCAGACAGCCAGGAUGUUGGCUUAGAAGCAGCCAUCAUUUAAAGAAAGCGUAAUAGCUCACUGGUCGAGUCGGCCUGCGCGGAAGAUGUAACGGGGCUAAACCAUGCACCGAAGCUGCGGCAGCGACACUAUGUGUUGUUGGGUAGGGGAGCGUUCUGUAAGCCGUUGAAGGUGGCCUGUGAGGGUUGCUGGAGGUAUCAGAAGUGCGAAUGCUGACAUAAGUAACGAUAAAGCGGGUGAAAAGCCCGCUCGCCGGAAGACCAAGGGUUCCUGUCCAACGUUAAUCGGGGCAGGGUGAGUCGACCCCUAAGGCGAGGCCGAAAGGCGUAGUCGAUGGGAAACAGGUUAAUAUUCCUGUACUUGGUGUUACUGCGAAGGGGGGACGGAGAAGGCUAUGUUGGCCGGGCGACGGUUGUCCCGGUUUAAGCGUGUAGGCUGAUUUUCCAGGCAAAUCCGGAGAAUCAAGGCUGAGGCGUGAUGACGAGGCACUACGGUGCUGAAGCAACAAAUGCCCUGCUUCCAGGAAAAGCCUCUAAGCAUCAGGUAACAUCAAAUCGUACCCCAAACCGACACAGGUGGUCAGGUAGAGAAUACCAAGGCGCUUGAGAGAACUCGGGUGAAGGAACUAGGCAAAAUGGUGCCGUAACUUCGGGAGAAGGCACGCUGAUAUGUAGGUGAAGCGACUUGCUCGUGGAGCUGAAAUCAGUCGAAGAUACCAGCUGGCUGCAACUGUUUAUUAAAAACACAGCACUGUGCAAACACGAAAGUGGACGUAUACGGUGUGACGCCUGCCCGGUGCCGGAAGGUUAAUUGAUGGGGUCAGCCGCAAGGCGAAGCUCUUGAUCGAAGCCCCGGUAAACGGCGGCCGUAACUAUAACGGUCCUAAGGUAGCGAAAUUCCUUGUCGGGUAAGUUCCGACCUGCACGAAUGGCGUAAUGAUGGCCAGGCUGUCUCCACCCGAGACUCAGUGAAAUUGAACUCGCUGUGAAGAUGCAGUGUACCCGCGGCAAGACGGAAAGACCCCGUGAACCUUUACUAUAGCUUGACACUGAACAUUGAGCCUUGAUGUGUAGGAUAGGUGGGAGGCUUUGAAGUGUGGACGCCAGUCUGCAUGGAGCCGACCUUGAAAUACCACCCUUUAAUGUUUGAUGUUCUAACGUGGACCCGUGAUCCGGGUUGCGGACAGUGUCUGGUGGGUAGUUUGACUGGGGCGGUCUCCUCCUAAAGAGUAACGGAGGAGCACGAAGGUUGGCUAAUCCUGGUCGGACAUCAGGAGGUUAGUGCAAUGGCAUAAGCCAGCUUGACUGCGAGCGUGACGGCGCGAGCAGGUGCGAAAGCAGGUCAUAGUGAUCCGGUGGUUCUGAAUGGAAGGGCCAUCGCUCAACGGAUAAAAGGUACUCCGGGGAUAACAGGCUGAUACCGCCCAAGAGUUCAUAUCGACGGCGGUGUUUGGCACCUCGAUGUCGGCUCAUCACAUCCUGGGGCUGAAGUAGGUCCCAAGGGUAUGGCUGUUCGCCAUUUAAAGUGGUACGCGAGCUGGGUUUAGAACGUCGUGAGACAGUUCGGUCCCUAUCUGCCGUGGGCGCUGGAGAACUGAGGGGGGCUGCUCCUAGUACGAGAGGACCGGAGUGGACGCAUCACUGGUGUUCGGGUUGUCAUGCCAAUGGCACUGCCCGGUAGCUAAAUGCGGAAGAGAUAAGUGCUGAAAGCAUCUAAGCACGAAACUUGCCCCGAGAUGAGUUCUCCCUGAGACUUUAAGUCUCCUGAAGGAACGUUGAAGACGACGACGUUGAUAGGCCGGGUGUGUAAGCGCAGCGAUGCGUUGAGCUAACCGGUACUAAUGAACCGUGAGGCUUAACCU